GUCUCGAUAGCUAAGUGGUAUAGCAUACGAUUGCAGCUCUCCGUUGUUAUCGUAGGGUCCGGUGUUCGAUCCACCGUCGGGACU